CAGAGGGCACCGGCCACACUGGGACUGACACACGGCCCAGACUCCUACGGGAGGCAGCCAUGGGGAACAUUCGGCAAUGGGCGAAAGCCUGAUGCAGCAACGCCGCGUGAGGGAUGACGGCCUUCGGGUUGUAAACCUCUUUCAGCAGGGACGAAGCGCAAGUGACGGUACCUGCAGAAGAAGCACCGGCCAACUACGUGCCAGCAGCCGCGGCGGAA
rnacentral:rRNA from 1 species